GCCCGGAUGGUGAAAUUGGUAGACACGCUAGUUUCAGGAGCUAGUGAGAGCAAUCUCUUAGGGGUUCAAGUCCCCUUCCGGGCACAA
rnacentral:tRNA from 1 species